ensembl:lncRNA
CAGAGCCAGACAAGCUGUUUUCUCUUUGUCUUUGUAAUAAGAAAAGGUAACCCGCUGCCCACAGCAGGUGUAUAUUUAGCAUGCAGACAUGAAGCUGAAUCACGUAACUCUCACAGAGAAGUAAAAGUAGUAAGAAUAACUCUGAAAAUGUCAAACUAUUCCUUUAAUUUUUUCAGUCUUUCACAUCAUUAUACAUUUUUAUUUAUGUUGUAAAAAGCCUGCCACAGUCAGCAUUUAAUAACCAGUAAAACCUGUCAAUUUUACUUUGACAAACGCAAACCACAAUGACGUGCUCAGCAAAAAAACCCCGAACAUGGCAGUGUGUUUUCUUGUUAAAUGUCUCACUCUUGCAAUUAUUAGUCAUCAUACGUUGCCUGUGUUUUGCAAGGCAAGCUUUCAAAUUAAGCUCAACAUGUACAGUUUCUCUCUGCGAACAUAAAGCAGAAGAGACAAACCCAAAUUUCCACAUGGGGAUGUAUCUGUCUGAGCAGUAAUGAAAUGAGUGGGGCCGGUUUUCCCAGCAGCACUUGAGCAAGAAGAUCAACUUAGUACCAAAAUAAGCUAAUGCAUAAAGAUGAUGAUACUGCUGAGACGACUCUGCUUAAUUGGGCCUUGAGAUGUCGUACACUUUCAAAACAAGGAGCCUUCAGGCACAAUCCACUCGAAGCCCAAAUCGUUUGAUUAUUUCAGUUUCUUUUUACUGGAAUUUUUGAAAAGUAUGUGAAUUUAAUUAAGCUAAAACAAAAAAAUACUUUGAAUACUGUUCAAACCCGUUUCUAAAAACGUUGUAUACAUGUGAAUAGUGAGGACUUGAUCAAAUUAAUCAGCAUUAUGUUUGUAUCUCAACAGAAUGGCAAUAAAAUACUGCUGGCAAAUAAUGUUUACCAGCAGUAUCCAUGUAAGCACUCAUCAAACUUUUUAAAGAAAUGCACGUAAAAUGGAUUUUGCAGUUAUAAGGCACAAUCACAAGUGUAGGGGAAGCUCUCAGCAUGAUGAAGUAUACAAAGAUGUAUGCUUAGACAGUGAUUUGUUUUAAUUAAACACACUUUUGACAAUCUAAAAUUGUCCACAUCUGUGCUAGGAAGUUAGCCAAAAGUGAUUACAAACAAACUUAAUGCCAGUAUAACCUCUUAAGCCCCAACGCCCCCAGAUAUAGGGGCAAAAGGCAGGAGAUCGCAUUUGGGGUUAGGCAUUGGGGCUUAAGUGUGUUGUUGGUCCUCCUUCCAAAUUUUCUGUGUGAUGACUUCAAAACAGAAUAAAAGUGCAUAUGGAUCUGCUCUAAACCAACUUACGCCACCUCUUUCAGUCGUAUUCAUACGUUUUAGAGGAAUAGAUGUUCAAAAUUUCCAUAAAUACAUGGCUAUUCAUUAUUGCUAACACCUCCAUUGGUAUGAGUAUCUAGUUUCUAGUUUCCAGUGUUGUUUGUUUGUCCUUUGGGGGGGUUCUCACUUUAUCUUUUACAAAUGGUCUUUUUUAAUGCUUGCUUGGCCCUGAAUAGUGUAAUAGUGUAAAGAGAAACACAAAAAAACCCGAUGAAAGUGAAGUUCCACUCCUGUGACAAUGCUGUAACAUCUUCAAGAAAUGGGGGAAAAAAUGUUGGAAUGAAGAAAGUUCUGUAGGCAGUGAGUUCAGCUUUUUAGAUGACAGUGCCUUUUGAUUUAGAAAUUGAGAGUCAAUCACAGUCUGCAUUGCAGCCUGAAUGUGAGUAAUACAGCUUUCUGAGCACUGGGCAGACCCUAAAUUGGCUCUCUCUCCCAAAUACACACGCACUGAAUUUCACAUGGGAGCUCUAAGAACAAAGUGCUCUCAAUAACACUGUGCUUCUCUUACACACACACACACACACACACACACACACACACACACACACUUGCAGUUAUAUAUGUGCUUCUGUCUUCAUAUUUCUUCCUUUAUGUACCAAACACUAAAAAAAAUGCUCAUAAAAAUGCUGUAAACAUUGUCAUAAAACCACCGCACGACAUCUUAUGAAUGCAAAGUGACAACAAUAUAUACACUGUUUACAUAUUUCAAACACAUCUGUGCCCACUACUAGGUGAAGUUCAUCCUUUUUGUUUGAAUAUCCACGGAGUCCAAGAGCAUCCACGGUUUAUGCUUUUCGGGAUGCUCCAUCAGCUCCUUUCCAUAAACUCGUCAGCAAUCUCAGGUCAAAAAAGGGAUAUUUACUCCAUGGCCAGAGCGACCCGGUCGGGCGUCAUCGGCCCGGGCUUGACCGAGAUCCACAAGUCUUCGGUAUUGGCAGAAUUAUAUUUCUUCUUUGUUUCUGACCUUGAAGACGACACGGCGUCGCCGCAGCAGCAACAACAGCAGCUGUUGGCAUGACGACAGCAACAGCAGUGGCAGCACACCACCACUGUUGUGAGGAGGACGAGCAGGGGAAGCGUCAGGAGGACCACCAGGCAGACUGUGUUAUAGGCCCCCUGGUUGUGUUUUUCUGAAGCAAAGUGCCACAGUUGGUUGAAAAAAUCCUGAAUGCUGUCAGUUUUCCCAUCCAUGGCUUAGGAUACCGGCGUGUAAGCCCUUUAAAUGAGACUAUCUCACUGUUGGAAAAGUUUUGCUAAAUCCUUUAGAGAGUUGAAAUAGUUGUGAGACAGCAAAUGUGCAUGUUAGGAUGCUGGGGUACUAAAAUGAUAAAAAUACAAUGUCCCUCUGAGCCCUUUGGGUGGUUGGAUUAAGGUUAAAAAACUGCCCAAAAUGAAAUAGUUUCCCUGAGACUCUCGUCUAUCCAACGAAGGCUGUACUCUCUGUGUUAAAUGGAAACACCAGAAGCAAACGUCACAGAUGCUUUCUGCUUUAAAGUGUUCCUUUGGAGAAGGCCAAGGCCCAUUUAAACAAAUCCACACAACCAAGAGGUCACUUGGUUAGAGGAGGCUUUCAAUAUGAGGAUUCUGAUCUCGAGGAAAGCGGAAGUUUCUUUAUCCAGGUCGACAUUCCAGUAAUUGUUUUCUCGAGUUUCCUCUUGUCCUCCUCCCCUUUAACUUUCAGUCUGACAAGCUGUAGAGAAGUUGCUUAAUGUGGAUGUAGCUGCAAAAAAAAAAAAAGAAGGUUAACAUGAACAGAAAAUUUGGGUCCAGGCAGACAACUGGUCUCCCUCACUCUUUC